CCUACGGUGUGCAGCAGUGGGGAAUCUUGCACAAUGGGGGAAACCCUGAUGCAGCAACGCCGCGUGAGUGAAGAAGUCUUUCGGUAUGUAAAGCUCUAUUAGCAGGGAAGAAGAUGAUGGUCCUUGAUUAAGAAGCCCCGGCUACGUACUUGCCAGCAGCCGCGGUAAUACGUCGGGGGCCAGCGUUAUCCGGAUUUACUGGGUGUAAAGGGAGCGCAGACGGCAGUGCAAGUCUGGAGUGAAAGCCCGGGGCCCAACCCCGGAACUGCUCUGGAAACUGUGCGGCUAGAGUACUGGAGGGGCAGGCGGAAGUCCGAGUGUAGCGGUGAAAUGCGUAGAUAUAAGGAGGAACACCAGUGGCGAAGGCGGCCUGCUGGACAGUAACUGACGCUGAGGCUCGAAAGCGUGGGGAGCAAACAGGAUUAGAUACCCGAGUAGUC
rnacentral:rRNA from 1 species